rnacentral:lncRNA from 1 species
AAAAUUUUAAAAAAAAUAAAAAUGGAAGAAAUCUAAAAACAAUGUCAACAAAAGAUCUUAUGUCAAUAAAGAAUAAAACAUAAUAUCAUAUCUCUUAAACAAAAAAUCAAAAAGAGAAAAGAAAAGAAAAUUUAAGAUAUUUUGACAAAUUAGAACUUUGUUUGCGUAUAAUACAAGGUGAAACUCUAAUAUUAUCCGUAUUUCAACCUAAUAUUAUCCAUGUUUCAAUUAAACAUGAC